rnacentral:rRNA from 1 species
UACAGAGGGGGCAAGCGUUGUUCGGAACUACUGGGCGUAAAGGGCGCGUAGGCGGCCUUCUAAGUCGAACGUGAAAUCCCCGGGCUCAACCCGGGAACUGCGUCCGAUACUGGAAGGCUUGAAUCCGGGAGAGGGAUGUGGAAUUCCAGGUGUAGCGGUGAAAUGCGUAGAUAUCUGGAGGAACACCGGUGGCGAAGGCGACAUCCUGGACCGGUAUUGACGCUGAGGCGCGAAAGCCAGGGGAGCAAACGGG